GAUGAACGCUGGCGGCGUGCCUAAUACAUGCAAGUCGAACGAAACUUCUUUAUCACCGAGUGCUUGCACUCACCGAUAAAGAGUUGAGUGGCGAACGGGUGAGUAACACGUGGGCAACCUGCCCAAAAGAGGGGGAUAACACUUGGAAACAGGUGCUAAUACCGCAUAACCAUAGUUACCGCAUGGUAACUAUGUAAUAGGUGGCUAUACUACCGCUUUUGGAUGGGCCCGCGGCGCAUUAGCUAGUUGGUAGGGUAAAGGCUUACCAAGGCAAUGAUGCGUAGCCGAAUUGAGAGGUUGAUCGGCCACAUUGGGACUGAGACACGGCCCAAACUCCUACGGGAGGCAGCAGUAGGGAAUCUUCCACAAUGGGCGAAAGCCUGAUGGAGCAACGCCGCGUGGGUGAAGAAGGUCUUCGGAUCGUAAAACCCUGUUGUUAGAGAAGAAAGUGCGUGAGAGUAACUGUUCACGUUUCGACGGUAUCUAACCAGAAAGCCACGGCUAACUACGUG
rnacentral:rRNA from 1 species